AUACAUGCAAGUCGAAGCGGACAGAUGGGAGCUUGCUCCCUGAUGUUAGCGGCGGACGGGUGAGUAACACGUGGGUAACCUGCCUGUAAGACUGGGAUAACUCCGGGAAACCGGGGCUAAUACCGGAUGGUUGUUUGAACCGCAUGGUUCAGACAUAAAAGGUGGCUUCGGCUACCACUUACAGAUGGACCCGCGGCGCAUUAGCUAGUUGGUGAGGUAACGGCUCACCAAGGCGACGAUGCGUAGCCGACCUGAGAGGGUGAUCGGCCACACUGGGACUGAGACACGGCCCAGACUCCUACGGGAGGCAGCAGUAGGGAAUCUUCCGCAAUGGACGAAAGUCUGACGGAGCAACGCCGCGUGAGUGAUGAAGGUUUUCGGAUCGUAAAGCUCUGUUGUUAGGGAAGAACAAGUGCCGUUCAAAUAGGGCGGCACCUUGACGGUACCUAACCAGAAAGCCACGGCUAACUACGUGCCAGCAGCCGCGGUAAUACGUAGGUGGCAAGCGUUGUCCGGAAUUAUUGGGCGUAAAGGGCUCGCAGGCGGUUUCUUAAGUCUGAUGUGAAAGCCCCCGGCUCAACCGGGGAGGGUCAUUGGAAACUGGGGAACUUGAGUGCAG
rnacentral:rRNA from 1 species